rnacentral:rRNA from 1 species
CAUUAGCCGCGGUAAUACGAAGGGUGCAAGCGUUAAUCGGAAUUACUGGGCGUAAAGCGUGCGCAGGCGGUUCGCUAAGACAGAUGUGAAAUCCCCGGGCUUAACCUGGGAACUGCGUUUGUGACUGGCAAGCUAGAGUAUGGCAGAGGGGGGUGGAAUUCCGCGUGUAGCAGUGAAAUGCGUAGAUAUGCGGAGGAACACCGAUGGCGAAGGCAGCCCCCUGGGCCAAUACUGACGCUCAUGCACGAAAGCGUGGGGAGCAAACAGGAUUAGAUACCCGUGUAGUCCCUGUCUCUUAUAC